GGUCUGGUGGUGUAGUUGGUUAUCACGUCAGUCUAACAGCCCCGAGAGCCUCGCCCCUCUCGUUUGCCACACUGAAGGUCUCCGGUUCAAGUCCGGGCUAGAUCA
rnacentral:tRNA from 1 species